UGUAAGUAAUCUUUUGUAAUUUAGAAGUAAAAUAAAUUCAUACAUACAAUAAUUUACAAAGUUAUAAUGUACAAUAGUAAUUACAAUGACAAGUGGCCCAUAACUACACCAAGUACUGGUGAUAGUAACCUACUGUCUGUGAGGUAGAGAUGUCAACUGGAAUCCUCGACAAAAUAGGGUAUCUACAAGCUACCAUAGACCUGAAAUGUUUGGAAAGGAGGUGGGUGAGAUUUUGUAAUCCCAAUGAGUAAACAGACAUUAUCAUAAAUAUCUAAAGGCGAGUAACAUGGAGGCAAGUUUAAACACAAAUUACAAACCAUUUCAUAAGGUUUUCAAUUUAUUCCUUAAACCCUAAAAUAUUUGUAAUUUACCAAAAUAGUUAUUAAGGCUUAUGACUUUUAUUAAAACAAAGCUCAAGCCAAAACUAAUCCUUGGGGAUACCUUGGCCGAGGCAUCUAACCGAGUCCGCCAAGGUAGUUAUGAUAUUUACAUAUGAAACACAUUUUUAUUUUUAAAACAAGUCGUUCCUUGGCGUUGGCCGAGUUACACAUUCACGUGGGGGUUCGACGUGAAGUGAGCUCUAAUACUACCACGAGAGUUACCCUCCUCGCCUCUACAACCAGGGUAAUUAUGUAACCGGGUUUACUGUGUCCCUCUAAUAGGCAGUCCAUAGAAACCCGUCACUGCAGUGACUAAACCCACCCAUUUUAAUAAAAUUUCGACAGUAUAACGUGGCUUUUAUUUAUUUACCCAGCCUGCAUAGUAAAAACAGCUUACAUAAAUUCCCAAUGCAAUUUAUCAAAUAUAGCCACAUAUACUCAUAUUUCAUAAGCCAUUCAUAGGAAAAUAUAUGUUUCAAAAUAAUUGGCAGCCUCCAAUUACUCAAUUUCAUAAUCAACACAAUAUAUUUUUAUUUGUCACAUUUAUUUCUAAAACAUCAAAAAUCCCGUUUUAAUCUCGUUUUCAUUUCAUAAAAUACAUAAAGAGCAUUUAAAAAUAAACUCUAGAUAAUUUACAAUAAUAAUAGGUUUACUCACCGUUUGUACAAAUUAAAUGCUUUUUAGGUGCCCCGAUCACUG
rnacentral:lncRNA from 1 species